UACGUAGGCAGCGAGGCGUUGUUCGGAAUUACUGGGCGUAAAGAGUGUGUAGGCGGUGCUCUAAGUUCGGUGUGAAACUCUCCCGCUUAACUGGGAGGGUGCGCCGGAAACUGGAGUGCGUCGAGCGUGGGAGAGGAAAGGCGGAAGUUACCUUCGGUGUAGCGGUGAAAUGCGUAGAUAUCAGGAGGAACACCUGCGGUGUGAGACGGCUUUCGUGGACCAUUGCUGACGCUGAGACACGAAAGCGUGGGUAGCAAACAGG
rnacentral:rRNA from 1 species